GAUGAAGAACGUAGCGAAAUGCGAUAAGUAGUGUGAAUCGCAGAAUUCAGUGAAUCAUCGAAUCUUUGAACGCACAUUGCGCCCUUUGGUAUUCCUUAGGGCAUGCCUGUUCGAGCGUCAUUUAAACCUUCAAGCUCAGCUUGGUGUUGGGUGACUGUCCGCUUCACCGCGGACUCGCCUCAAAAUUAUUGGCGGCCGGUACAUUGGCUCUCGAGCGCAGCAGAAACGCGUAACUCGAGGUCCUCGUGCUGGCUCCCAGAAGCUAUCUUCACAAUUUUGACCUCGGAUCAGGUAGGGAUACCCGCUGAACUUAAGCAUAUCAAUAAGCGGAGGA
rnacentral:misc_RNA from 1 species